GAUGAACGCUAGCGGCGGGCUUAAUACAUGCAAGUCGAGGGGCAGCACGAUGUAGCAAUGCAUUGGUGGCGACCGGCGGACGGGUGCGUAACACGUAUGCAACUUGCCCUAUACUGGGGGAUAGCACGAAGAAAUUCGGAUUAAUACCCCAUAACAUCAGGAUCAGCAUUGAUCUUGGUUCAAAGUUCCGACGGUAUAGGAUGGGCAUGCGGUCGAUUAGCUUGUUGGUGAGGUAACGGCUCACCAAGGCGACGAUCGAUAGGGGGCCUGAGAGGGUGAACCCCCACACUGGUACUGGGACACGGACCAGACUCCUACGGGAGGCAGCAGUAAGGAAUAUUGGUCAAUGGGCGCAAGCCUGAACCAGCCACGCCGCGUGAAGGAAGACGGCCCUAUGGGUUGUAAACUUCUUUUCUACGGGAAUAAACCUCGGGACGUGUCCCGAGCUGAAGGUAUCGUAGGAAUAAGGAUCGGCUAACUCCGUGCCAGCAGCCGCCGUAAGAC
rnacentral:rRNA from 1 species